CCUACGGGAGGCUGCAGUGGGGAAUAUUGGUCAAUGGGCGCAAGCCUGACCCAGCAACGCCGCGUGAAGGAAGAAGGCUCUCGGGUUUUUAACUUCUUUUCUUAGGGGCGAAGAAAGUGACGGUACCUCAGGAAUAAGCCACCGCUAACUACGGGCCACCAGCCGCUCCAAUACGUAGGGGGCAAUCGUUAUCCGGAUUCGUUGGGUUUAAAGGGCGUGUAGGCUGGAAGGCAAGUCAGGUGUGAAAUCCCGGGGCCCAACCCUGGUCCUGCAUUUGAAACUGUCUUUCUUGAGUGCUUGGGAGGCAAGCGGAAUUCGGCGUGUAGCGGUGAAAUGCGUAGAUAUGACGAAGAACACCAGUGGCGAAGGCAGAUUGCUGGAGAGGAACUGACGCUGAGGCGCGAAAGCGUGGGGAUCGAACAGGAUUAGAUACCCUUGUAGUC
rnacentral:rRNA from 1 species